AACCUACACCACAGCUCAUGGCAACGCCGGAUCCCCAACCCACUGAGCAAGGCCAGGGGUCAAACCUGCAACCUCAUGGUUUCUAGUCAGAUUCGUUAACCACUGUGCCACGACAGGAACUCCCCCACAUAUCCAUUCUUGUUCAGAUUCUUUUCCCACAGAGGUUAUCACAGAAUAUUGAAUAUAUUCCAUCAAUUUCAUAUAUACAUAUUGGCAGAGUGUGCAUAUGCCAAUCCCAAACCCCCAAUCCCUCCCUGCCUCCCUCCCCUUCCCCUUGGUAACUAUGACUUUGUUUUCAGAGUCUGUGAGUCUGUUUCUGCUUUGUAAAUAAGUUCAUUUGCAUCAUCUUUUUAGAUUCCGCAUAGAAGUGAUAUAUGAUGUCUGUCAUUCUCUGUUUGACUUUCUGCACUCAGUAUGAUCAUCUCUAGGCUGCUCUCUAAUGCAGAAAGAAGGCAAGGCUUCUUUAAAAAGGAAAAAGUGAGGGGCUGGGAUCUGGGAGGGUAUCUUGGCUAAGAUGCACCCAACUGCACCCAGGGCUCCUUUCCUGCCCAUCCAGAAGCACAAGCCCGAGGUCAAAGAACCUGGCAGAUCGGAAGGUGUUGAGACGUUUCUCUGACCCAGUCACCCCAGUUCCCCCACCUCCUCCUUCCACCCUGAGCCCAGAACCCUUCCUGGCAGCGGCCCCCUCCCCCAAGGACCCUGUCCCUCUAAAGCAGCCCCACGUCCCUCGCAGAUGGCAGCUGGGGAGCAAGAAGGCGGAAAACACCAGGUCGGCCCGCGACGGGGGGUGGGGCUUCCCGCCCUCGAGUGACAUCGUUUGGGAAGAAAGCUGCUCUUCUCAGGCCUUGUCACUGCCUUGCCUUGACACAGUUCCAGCAAGGGUCCUGGGGCUUGUAGAACUUGUAGAAUCCCUGCUACUUUCCAGGGUCUUCCAUUUUCUCUUUCUAAUGGAUGCGUUAAUGACUAUUUAUGUGCCCAGAUUUCACUGGGAUGCAGAAGGCACAGCAGCUCUGAGAAAUCACUGA
rnacentral:lncRNA from 1 species